GGCCAGACUCCUACGGGAGGCAGCAGUGGGGAAUAUUGGGCAAUGGGCGCAAGCCUGACCCAGCAAUGCCGCGUGAAGGAAGAAGGCCUUCGGGUUGUAAACUUCUUUUAUCAGGGACGAAGGAUGUGACGGUACCUGAUGAAUAAGCUCCGGCUAACUACGUGCCAGCAGCCGCGGUAAUACGGAGGAUGCGAGCGUUAUCCGGAUUUAUUGGGUUUAAAGGGUGCGCAGGCGGCACGGCAAGCCGGCGGUCAAAUCGCGGGGCUCAACCCCGCCCAGCCGUCGGAACUGCCGGGCUAGAGUGGGCGAGAAGUGCGCGGAAUGCGUGGUGUAGCGGUGAAAUGCAUAGAUAUCACGCAGAACUCCGAUUGCGAAGGCAGCGCACCGGCGCCCUACUGACGCUCAGGCACGAAAGCGUGGGUAUCGAACAGGAUUAGAUACCCCUGUAU
rnacentral:rRNA from 1 species